rnacentral:rRNA from 1 species
UACGUAGGGUGCUAUCGUUGUCCGGAAUUAUUGGGCGUAAAGCGCGCGCAGGUGGUUCUUUAAGUCUGAUGUGAAAGCCUCCGGCUCAACCGGAGAGGGUCAUUGGAAACUGGGGAACUUGAGUGCAGAAGAGGAUAGUGGAAUUCCAAGUGUAGCGGUGAAAUGCGUAGAGAUUUGGAGGAACACCAGUGGCGAAGGCGACUAUCUGGUCUGUAACUGACACUGAGGCGCGAAAGCGUGGGGAGCAAACAGG